UCACGGUCUAAAAGUUCUAGAG
rnacentral:siRNA from 1 species